CGUCGGCGUGGCCGAGGACGUAGGUGCUACCGCUCCAGGCGGAGGAUGGUGUCGUGUUCAUCAUGCUGUCGCCCUUUCCGGUUGGGCCGCCGCGGU
rnacentral:tRNA from 1 species